rnacentral:rRNA from 1 species
UUAAAUUGAAGAGUUUGAUCAUGGCUCAGAUUGAACGCUGGCGGCAGGCCUAACACAUGCAAGUCGAACGGUAACAGGAAACAGCUUGCUGUUUCGCUGACGAGUGGCGGACGGGUGAGUAAUGUCUGGGAAACUGCCUGAUGGAGGGGGAUAACUACUGGAAACGGUAGCUAAUACCGCAUAACGUCGCAAGACCAAAGAGGGGGACCUUCGGGCCUCU